rnacentral:rRNA from 1 species
UAGGGAAUCUUCGGCAAUGGGGGGAACCCUGACUGAGCAACGCCGCGUGAGUGAAGAAGGUUUUCGGAUCGUAAAGCUCUGUUGUUAAGGAAGAACGAGUGUGAGAAUGGAAAGUUCAUACUGUGACGGUACUUAACCAGAAAGGGACGGCUAACUACGUGCCAGCAGCCGCGGUAAUACGUAGGUCCCGAGCGUUGUCCGGAUUUAUUGGGCGUAAAGCGAGCGCAGGCGGUUAGAUAAGUCUGAAGUUAAAGGCAGUGGCUCAACCAUUGUAGGCUUUGGAAACUGUUUAACUUGAGUGCAGAAGGGGAGAGUGGAAUCCCAUGUGUAGCGGUGAAAUGCGUAGAUAUAUGGAGGAACACCGGUGGCGAAAGCGGCUCUCUGGUCUGUAACUGACGCUGAGGCUCGAAAGCGUGGGGAGCGAACAGG